GAAUAUUUAGUUAGACAUUAAACAAUCAGUUUUUUAUUUUCGAAUCAAAACAACAUUUUUAACAUGAAGGCUCUACUAAUUUUAUUGUUUCUUUCAUAUACAACUGCCCAAUGGCUCUCAGAAUGCGGGAGAAGCAAAUACCCGAAUCCGGCUCCUGAGCAAAGAAGCGAUAAAUUUGACAGAAUAGUUGGAGGUUGGGAAGCGAGAGCAAAUGAAUUCCCUUAUCAAUUGAGUUUAAGAGUGUUUGAAAGCCAUGUUUGUGGUGCAGUUGUUAUCAACAGUAAUUGGGCUCUUUCUGCUGCUCAUUGUACUCCCAUUGGAUCUUUUAAUGGUUUAAUUAUUGUUGCUGGGGCUCACAAUAGAAGCAAUCCACUUAAUAAUGAACAGAGGUCGAAUAUCUUAACAGUAAUCAACCACGAGCGCUACACAAACCCAUUAAGACACUCAAAUGAUAUAUCACUCCUUCAAUUGGCUAAUUCUUUAGAAUUAAAUGAUAAUGUUGCUGCAGCUUGUUCUCCCAGACUCACUGAUUACGUUAAUGUUAUAGCUACUUCUUCUGGAUGGGGAGCCACUGUUUCUGGUGGUCCCAUUCCCCAUGUAUUAAGAUAUACUAACGUUGAAAUUUGGUCAAACAGCAGAUGUAACGCAUCAUAUCCAGGAAGCAUUGAUGAAAGCAUGGUAUGCGCCUCAACGCCCGGAAGAGAUAUAUGUCAAGGAGAUUCCGGUGGUCCUCUAGCUUACAACAACAACGGUCGAUUUGAAGUAGUUGGAUUAGCAUCAUGGGGAAGAGGUUGUGCCGAACCAGGAAACCCAGGAGUUUACGCCAGAGUUGCAAGUAAACUUGAAUGGAUAAGAGAAAAUACUGAAAGAAGACCUAUUCAGAUAGGAUAGUAACUAUUCUAUAAAAUAUUAAGAAUAUAAUACAUACCAUAUAUUCGUAUUUCAUAUUAACUUUGUAAGGUUAAUUUAAAGAGGAAAAUCAAUCUAAUUAAUAAUUUUUCUGAAGUAUUUGAUGAUUAGCCUUCUGUAGUGAUAAUUUUUAUAUUUUAUUCAACAACAAUUGUCGUAUUUCGCAGCCAUCAAUAAUGACAACAAAAUGGUGUUCAUAUCAAUUUGGUUUAUUUACUCUUCUAAUUCCUUUAACUGAUGGUUUUCUCUGUGACUUUAAAGGAAGAAUAUUAUUACACAACCUAGACAACGAGACUACCGCAAAUUAUUCAAUGAGAAUAGUAAAAGAAGAUAGAUAAAGAGUUUGAUAAAUGAUAAUUAUUCAACAAUUAUAUUUACAUCUUUACUUUUUCAGAUUAAAUCAAAUUAAUGAUGUUGUAGAGCUAAAUCAUUCAAAUUGUUAUUAUUAAAUAUCAUAGAAUAAAGCUAGUUUAGAAAUUUCAACACUUCUUCUCUUUCCAGAUUUAUCAUAUAUGCAAUUAUUGAAUAGAUGCUUACUGGAUAAAAAUUCACUAAUCUUUUUAGACAAACUUAGAAAUAGCCAAAAAUUUUACAAAAUGGAAAAUAUUUAUGAAAUUCCAAGAGAUAUGUUGCUCAUAAAAACCGCCUCUCUUUACAAUGGUUUUAUUGAUUUUUCAAAUGUUUACCUAAUUGUUUGUAAUUGUUUAUUUACAAAUUUCAAAAUGACUUUGUCUUAUGUUAUUUUGUAGAUAAAUAAAAAUGGUAAAUUUUAUAAUUUAAUCACUAAACACCUGGUUUCCGGAGAGGAAGAGAAAUUACAGAAAGAUAUGAUCAAUAUUGCUAUAUUUAUAAAGAAAAUCCUUCAAAAACGGACACAGUUUAUAUAAUUUUAUAAUUUUGCUAAUUCCA
rnacentral:misc_RNA from 1 species